GGGAGAGUUAGAUUGCGUUGAUAGGGCAUUGCUUAGAGAAAUUCCAGUUCCUGAAGCUCUUAACAAAAGAAUUCACUAUGAGGAGGGGGAAGGGUUGGCAAUGAAGGCCUUUUUUUCUCAAGAACUCCCAUUUGGAACAUAUUAUGCUCUUGCAACAUGGGAUGGAUAAACACUGUAUUAAUGAUUAGAUGGAGAUCAAGAGCUGAAUUUGUUUGCAUUUGAUAAAGCAGUUGUUCUAUGGGCCAUGUGUCUUUACUCUGGGGAAGAAAUAGCUGUUAAGGGAAAGCACGUCUCUUUUUGAGAAUUAACUGGGACUUUGUGUAAAGGAUGAACAGUCACUUGAACUUGCCUAAAGCCACUGACAUUUUACCUCUGUGCAAGUUUCACUUUCAGAAACCAGCUGUCAAGUUAUCAGGCUGAGAGAUGAUUGUUUCAAUCUGCUGGGUUUCUGGUGAUCUGCAUGACAAGCAUCACAGGACUGCCAUGAACUGGAAUGAAAUGCAUUGCAAGUGAAAGGAAAAAUAAACCAUACACUUUUAUAAACAGCUGUGUGACUUUGGACUUUGGAAAACCUGAGUUUUGUCUACAUGCUGAAGUUCACCCCAGGUAUCACAAAUAGUGACAAACUAAUUCUCAGUAAAGAACCAGAAGUUCUUAAGUAUUGAAAAAUACUGCUUUUUUCCACAAAAUAAAAACUUUGUGAGAAGUUGUAACA
rnacentral:lncRNA from 1 species